AGUCUCCUUGCCAGCAUGGUGGUAGGAGAAGCAGAAAAGCUCUUGAAUGCUGUGCAAUCUCUGCUUGGCAAUAACAAAAACACUUCUAUCCUGUCAACAGCAUUUGCAGAACAAGCCCAAAGCAGAACCCCCACAGUAGCUGCUGGGAAAGAAAUAAGCUCUACCACAGUCCAAACCAGCGCAGGGAAGGAUGAUGAAAUCCUACCUCCAGCUGUGGCCAUCUUUUCCCCAUCAAAGCAGGAGAUCCAGCAGAAGAGCAAGGCCACACUGGUGUGCCUGGCCUCUGGCUUCUACCCUGACCACCUGACUCUGACCUGGAGGGUGAAUGGUAUGAGAAGGACCGAGGGGGUGGGGACAGAUGAGUCCUCCACACGGAAUGGGAGCACCUACUCACUGACCAGCCGACUGAGGAUGCCAGCCUGGGAAUGGUUCAACCCUUUGAAUCGCUUUGAGUGUGUUGCCGAUUUUUUUUACAAUGGAACAACGCAAUCAAUAAACAAAUUUAUCUAUGGUGAUGCUGGUUGUGCACUCACAGAAGAGUCGUACUUGCGGUAUGGAAAUUCUCUGAAGCUCACUUACCUCAUCCUCUGUGGCAAAGCCUUGGUCUAUGCAGUUUUGGUGAGUGGUCUGGUGUGGACAGCCAAGAAUAGUGUCAAGUUAUCUAGAGAAUAAAUGAAGAGCCCUUGCCAUCACAUCAGCAGGAACACGACACCUUCUCAACCUUUCCAUUGCAAAGUAUCUCUGCUUCUAAGAAUUUCUGAACACAAUAUUUUGUGCUUGUCUGUUGCCAUCCUGUUCUUCACUUUGUUGUAAUCACUGCUGAGCUUUCCCUGUACUUCCAUAUGGUAUUGUAACAUACCUUUAAAACUAGCACCUUCUUAAUGCUCAGAGGCUGAGAACUCAUCUCCUUGAUUUAGGAAUAAAGUUUUCACUUUCUUUCCCUUGAAAAA